rnacentral:rRNA from 1 species
AUUGGGUCUAAAGGGUCCGUAGCCGGUUUGGUCAGUCCUCCGGGAAAUCUGAUAGCUCAACUAUUAGGCUUUCGGGGGAUACUGCCAGACUUGGAACCGGGAGAGGUAAGAGGUACUACAGGGGUAGGAGUGAAAUCUUGUAAUCCCUGUGGGACCACCUGUGGCGAAGGCGUCUUACCAGAACGGGUUCGACGGUGAGGGACGAAAGCUGGGGGCACGAACCGGAUUAGAUACCCGGGUAGUCCCAGCCGUAAACGAUGCUCGCUAGGUGUCAGGCAUGGCGCGACCGUGUCUGGUGCCGCAGGGAAGCCGUGAAGCGAGCCACCUGGGAAGUACGGCCGCAAGGCUGAAACUUAAAGGAAUUGGCGGGGGAGCACAACAACGGGUGGAGCCUGCGGUUUAAUUGGACUCAACGCCGGACAACUCACCGGGGGCGACAGCAAUAUGUAGGCCAAGCUGAAGACUUUGCCUGAAUCGCUGAGAAGUGGUGCAUGG